rnacentral:misc_RNA from 1 species
CGUCAUUAUCAACCAUCAAGCACCGCUUGGCAUUGAUUGUCACCCCCCGCGAGGAGGGAGCGAUCUAAAAGAGUCGGCUUUGGAUUUACACCAGAUAGCGUUAGUAAUACUUCCCGUUAAACUGGUUACUUCCGGAGGCCUCUAAAACCCAACACCUUAAGGUUGACCUCGGAUCAGGUAGGGAUACCCGCUGAACUUAA